AUUAAUUCAUAUUACGGGCCAUUUGGUUCGCUGUAAUGGGAAUAAUUCACUUUGUAAGUGUUUGUUUUGCAUCUUUUGUCAUUCCCAUUUUCCAUUUUUAUUUUUGGGUUUACCCAAAACAGUCCUAAACUCAUUCCCCACACCCCCAGCCUUUUGCAUUCCCAUUCCCUUCAUUACCCACGCCCCUCUCUCUCUCCUCUCAAGCCUCUCCAUUGCUCUGCUCCCUGCCACAGUCGAAGACGUUGCCGCCGCCGGUGUUCACGUUCGACUGCAGAGUUGCCGCCGCCGGUGUUCACGUCAUGACCGCCGGUGAAGCUAAGUCGAACACCGCCGCCUCUCUCUCUCUCUUCUCAAGCUUCUCAAGUCAACCCUAACGAGCUCGAAGCCGUCGCCGUCGCUACGGAGGAGGUCAGUGCGGUGUCAACAAUGGCGGAGGCGAUGCGGAGGAGAGAGAAUGAAGAGGAAUGUCGCAGUUCUUAUUUACUUUUGUUAACACGAAUAAGAUAUUACUCUUUAAUUUGUUCAUAAAUGCCUUCGUGGUGAUUGAAUUUA